GCAGUUCAUUUACUCUGUGUGAAAUUUAGUGGAUUUAAAUCAUCACCUUUUUGGUGAGACAUGCCAGUUUGAAGCUCGGAGAUCUUGUGGCUUUGUUUUUAAAUAAUGUCUGGGGUUGGGCUUCAGCCUUUGGCUUUCAGACCUGUCAGUGUGUUGCAUGGACUUGCCAAGUAAAUCAGUACAAUUUAUGCUAUCAUAAACCAUUACAUGUGGGAUUUUUGUGAGAACGGAGUAGGAGAAUUGCACGCAUAUAUGUGUAUGUAUAAGCAAAAAUUGGACAAAGUGAGUUGAAUUGUUUGAAUUAGUACUGGCCUACUUAAAUGGCUUUCAUGUAUGCCUCUGUAGCUUCUUUUAGUGUAAUUGUCAGAAGGGGUUUUUGACUCCAGUUCUCGUGCUAAUGUUUGAGUGCAUCCUGUGCAGUAACCUUCAAGUGUAAUUAAAGUUCAUGUAACAAUUCAUUUUGUAGUGAAACUAAUCCCCACCAAACUGUCUUUAAACCUAAUAUGAGGUUGCUUUUGCUUUUAAAACUGAAGGUUGGCUUUAUCUGUAUGAAAUCUGGUCGAGGUACUCAGUCCUGUUUUUCUGUUUUUCUUGCAGUGUUCAUCAGAAUUGCCACAUAUUAGGAUUGCUCUCGGCCAGCAUGACAACCUGGGACCUCCGCCUGAGAAGUGUAUUGAGAGCGUUUCAGUUCAAACCCAUGCUGCCCAAAGAAGCAAGCACUGAGCUGCCAUUUAAAAGUGAGUUCAAGUCUUUUAUUGUUUUAGAUCCAAUGAUAAUAAAGACAAAUGCAUUGGAUUAAUAAU
rnacentral:lncRNA from 1 species